CCUACGGGCGGCUGCAGUCGGGAAUAUUGCGCAAUGGAGGAAACUCUGACGCAGGGACGCCGCGUGCAGGAAGAAGGUUUUCGGAUUGUAAACUGCUUUAGACAGGGAAGAAACAAGACAGUACCAGGAAAAUAAGCACAGGCAAAGUACGUGCCAGCAGCCGCGGUAAUACGGAGGGAGCAAGCGUGAUCAGGAUUUAUUGGGGGUAAAGGGGGCGGAGACGGGAAGUCAAGUGGGUUGUGCAAUCCCUCGGCUUAACUGCGGAACUUCAACCAAAACUACCUUUCUUGAGUGCUGGAGAGGCAAGUGGACUUCCUAGUGUCGCGGUUAUAUGCGUAGAUAUUAGGAGGAACCCCAGUGGCGAAGGCGACUUUCUGGACAGUAACUGACGUUGAGGCACGAAAGUGUGGGGAGCAAACAGGAUUAGAUACCCCAGUAGUC
rnacentral:rRNA from 1 species